UCCGGAGAGGGAGCCUGAGAAACGGCUACCACAUCCAAGGAAGGCAGCAGGCGCGCAAAUUACCCAAUCCCGAUACGGGGAGGUAGUGACAAGAAAUACCGAUUCAGGAUCUUAUUGGAUCUUGAGAUUGGAAUGAGUACAAUUCAAACCCAUUAACGAGGAACAACUAGAGGGCAAGUCUGGUGCCAGCAGCCGCGGUAAUUCCAGCUCUANUAGCGUAUAUUAAAAUUGUUGCAGUUAAAACGCUCGUAGUUGAACUUUGGGCUUGGC
rnacentral:rRNA from 1 species